AGCCACAGCCAAAUCACCCUGCAGCCCAAGACCGGUUACUCACUGAAGCUAAGCAGGGCUGAGCCUGGUCAGUACCUGGAUGGGAGACUACAUGGGAAAGCUAGGUUGCUGUUGGAA
rnacentral:rRNA from 1 species